GUAGCUGAGUGGGAAAGCACUUGAUUUUGAAACCAGGGUCCUGGGUUCAAAUCCUGGC
rnacentral:tRNA from 1 species